GACGAAGGUGGCUAGCGUUGUUCGGAAUCACUGGGCUUAAAGAGCAUGUAGGCGGCCUGUUAAGCACUUUGUGAAAUCCCCCGGCUUAACCGGGGAAUUGCUUGGUGUACUGGCAGGCUUGAGGCAGGUAGGGGCGCGUGGAACUCUUGGUGGAGCGGUGAAAUGCGUAGAUAUCAAGAGGAACGCCGGAGGCGAAAGCGAUGCGCUGGGCCUGUCCUGACGCUGAGAUGCGAAAGCCAGGGGAGCAAACGGG
rnacentral:rRNA from 1 species